ensembl:lncRNA
GAUCUAGCAGCAGUUUUUGGACUGGAUACAUACUGUAGUGAAGCAGAAUUCAAUAACAGUUAAUAAUAACAUAAGAGUAAUAAUUUAAAAAAAAUGGCUGAAAAUGUAGUCACUCUCAGGCCAUCCAAGAUAAGUUUGUUUCUUCACUUCACAAGAUGUUAAUUAAUGGACUGGAGUGGUGUUGAAUAAAGGUUUUUUUUUUUGUUUUUUUUUUUUUUUUUAGCAGUUUGGACUCUCAUUCUAACGGCACCCAUUCACUGCAUAGGAUUCAUUGGUGAGCAUUUGAUGUCAUGCUACAUUUCUCUAAAUCUGUUCCAAUGAGGAAACAAACUCAUCUACAUUUUGGAUGUCCUAAGGCUGCGGUGUAAGGUCAUUUUCGUGGAUAUAUGACAUCAGUUCACCUCAAGUUCACACAAGCUGUGUCCAAAAGCUGAAAAAUAGAGGGCAACAGCGGGUCAAAUUGCUCCUGGGCCUCAAUCAUCUUCAUCAUCAUUUACUGAUCAUCUUCCUUUGGUCAUUUUCCAGCAUGAUCUUUCCAGAACCUGAUCCCCAACUAUUUUACAACAGAGUAAACCAUAUUAUUAUAGGAUUAAUGAUGCAAAUCUUGGAUUGCAAGAAGUGCACAGAGCAUAAAAGACAAUUAAAAGCCAUCAUUAAAGAGGCCAGAAAUUCCAAGUUGGUAUGGUUCGUGGUUUAACACUCCCCAUGCAGUAAAUAUGCCUUGAACUUAGUGCCAAAUUCAGUCAUUUGUGGAUAAUAUCCACACAAACAAUCCCCAUGUACAUCCUCUGACUCAUCGUGAGAUCAGCAACAACUCUGAAAGCUCUUAAUAGAACUUUAUAAUAAUAAUACUACAUUUCCUGUCUCAUGUGUGUCAUUGAGGUUAACAUUAUUUUAAUUUAUGGCCACGCUUCAGUUGGGGGACCAAUUCUCACCAUUGACUUCCUAUUAACUGCAAAUUUUGGAUCAAUAAACCCUACUUUGCUGAUGAUAAAUACUUAGUG